UACGUAGGGUGCAAGCGUUGUCCGGAAUUAUUGGGCGUAAAGAGCUCGUAGGCGGUUUGUCGCGUCUGCCGUGAAAGUCCCGGGGCUCAACUCCGGAUCUGCGGUUGGGUAACGGGCAGACUAGAGUGAUGUAGGGGAGGACUGGAAUUCCUGGUGUAGCGGUGAAAUGACGCAGAUAUCAGGAGGAACACCGAUGGCGAAGGCAGGUCCUCUGGGCAUUAACUGACGCUGAGGAGCGAAAAGCAUGGGGGAGCGAACAGG
rnacentral:rRNA from 1 species